GAUGAACGCUGGCGGCGUGCCUAAUACAUGCAAGUCGAGCGAACGGACGAGAAGCUUGCUUUUCUGAUGUUAGCGGCGGACGGGUGAGUAACACGUGGAUAACCUACCUAUAAGACUGGGAUAACUUCGGGAAACCGGAGCUAAUACCGGAUAAUAUUUUGAACCGCAUGGUUCAAAAGUGAAAGACGGUCUUGCUGUCACUUAUAGAUUGAUCCGCGCUGCAUUAGCUAGUUGGUAAGGUAACGGCUUACCAAGGCAACGAUGCAUAGCCGACCUGAGAGGGUGAUCGGCCACACUGGAACUGAGACACGGUCCAGACUCCGACGGGAGGCAGCAGUAGGGAAGCGUCCGCAAUGGGCGAAAGCCUGACGGAUCAACGCCGCGUGAGUGAUGAAGGUCUUCGGAUCGUAAAACGCUGUUAUUGUGGAAGAACAUAUGUGUAAGUAACUGUGCACAGCGUGACGGUACCUAAUCAGAAAGCCACGGCUAACUACGUG
rnacentral:rRNA from 1 species